AUUGAACGCUGGCGGCAGGCCUAACACAUGCAAGUCGAGCGGAUGAAGGGAGCUUGCUCCUGGAUUCAGCGGCGGACGGGUGAGUAAUGCCUAGGAAUCUGCCUGGUAGUGGGGGAUAACGUCCGGAAACGGGCGCUAAUACCGCAUACGUCCUGAGGGAGCAAGUGGGGGAUCUUCGGACCUCACGCUAUCAGAUGAGCCUAGGUCGGAUUAGCUAGUUGGUGGGGUAAAGGCCUACCAAGGCGACGAUCCGUAACUGGUCUGAGAGGAUGAUCAGUCACACUGGAAGUGAGACACGGUCCAGACUCCUACGGGAGGCAGCAGUGGGGAAUAUUGGGCAAUGGGCGAAAGCCUGAUCCAGCCAUGCCGCGUGUGUGAAGAAGGUCUUCGGAUUGUAAAGCACUUUAAGUUGGGAGGAAGGGCAGUAAGUUAAUACCUUGCUGUUUUGACGUUACCAACAGAAUAAGCACCGGCUAACUUCGUG
rnacentral:rRNA from 1 species